rnacentral:rRNA from 1 species
CCUACGGGGGGCUGCAGUGGGGAAUUUUGCGCAAUGGGGGAAACCCUGACGCAGCAACGCCGCGUGAGUGAUGAAGGCUUUCGGGUCGUAAAGCUCUGUCUAGAGGGAAGAAAUGAUUUGUGGUUAAUACCCAUGAUUCUUGACGGUACCUCUGAAGGAAGCACCGGCUAACUCCGUGCCAGCAGCCGCGGUAAUACGGAGGGUGCAAGCGUUGUUCGGAUUUAUUGGGCGUAAUUGUCGUGUCGGAGGUGAAAGCCCUGGGCUCAACCUGGGAAGUGCAUUGGAAACUGGCAGACUUGAAUACGGGAGAGGGUAGUGGAAUUCCUAGUGUAGGAGUGAAAUCCGUAGAUAUUAGGAGGAACACCGGUGGCGAAGGCGGCUACCUGGACCGAUAUUGACGCUGAGACGCGAAAGCGUGGGGAGCAAACAGGAUUAGAUACCCUAGUAGUC